GGCUGGAAAAGUGAUGAUUGGCGUACCUAAGACCCAAUCCUAAAGGGAGGAGGGGGAUGGUCUAGCGGGGGCGCGUUAAUGGGUACCUCGGCCAGUCCCAGACACAUCCGGGUCUUCAGCAGCCCAUUAAGUGUCGGGGGUCAAAAAAUCGCUUCAGGCUGCAACUUUACCUUAGAGACGUUUUGGUCCCCAGGCAGCCGCCGUACCCCAGUAUCCCCAAACCGGGAUUCCCCUUUGGCCUGCUCUCAUUCUUCCAAUUCUAAAGAUGGAGACUGGUGAACCGCGGUGGGGUCUGCGUUGGGUGGUGUUUCAUCGCGACAGAAUCCAGGAAUUUCACGAUAGCAGUAGCUUGAGGCGCUCGGGCCUUGCAGUCUGUUCGGGGUGUGGCCUGUCUCCGUCUGCCAAAGGCCUUGAGCUUCCUGGUCUUCAUUGUACCCCAGCACGGUCCUGUCGUGACUGAACCACGACUGGGGGAAAAAAAGACAGCUAGCCAAAUUGCUGAGAAAUUACGCCGCGCAGAGCGCUCGCAGCUCCUUCUCUCCGGAUCUCUGGUCUGAUCAGGUUCACAGUGAGGGAAACAGCCUCCCACUCCACCGACUACGCCUAAUCAACUCAAGGCCCAACUCCUGCUAGCCUCCCUACUUCCCCAAAGCAGUUAGGAGCACCUGAACCCAGCGUUUUUCGAACACGUACUAUAAGUAUUGUUCUUGAGCAUCUGAGGGACCAAGUAUCAGAGUCAGUGUGUUAAAGGAAUGGUAAUAGCUAAAGUUUUGGGCAGAGACUGAGGCACUGUGCUGUAUGUGCAUUCUUAUUUUUUUAAGAGCUUUCCAUGGAUUAUUUAUUCCUUGUACUCCGUGAGGUAGAUACUGUUAGCCCCAUUAUACAGAUUAAGGAAAUGAGGUACAAAUCAAAUGAUUUGCCCAGAGUUACAUAUAAGUGGCAGAGCUGAAAUCUGAAGCCGGUAGAUGCAGAAAGGGGUUCAGAGAGGCUGAGAGGUUCAGAGAGGCUAAGGAGCUUGCAAAGUUCAGACAGCUAAUUAAUGACUAAUGGCUCAAACUCAGAAAUAACUGGCUCCAGAAGCACUAGAAUGUGUUUUUCAAGUCAUUUAGAAGUCACGCUGUGCGAUGGAAAUGAAACUAAUGAAGGACAUGGGCACAAAAAGACAGGUGGACCCUGAACAGACACACAAAAAUGUACAAAAGCAGUUCAGUCCUUUCUGUGCUGUCUGAAGGGCCAUUCUUCGAGGGCUGCAACGAUACAAGAGAAACACAGUGGUGGAAGAUACAAGACUGAGAAAGAUACUAGUGAGGCCCUAGAAAAUACCUUUCAACAAAAUUAAAAUCAGGCUGUGGUGGGGCAGCUUUCAAACUGGAGUGAUCAAUCUCCCAAGAAAGACAACUCCUUUGGGACACUGCUCCAGACAGGGUGGGAAAGCAUCCUCUGACCUGAAGGUCCCAGAAUUCAGUAGUACUACUGUCUUCAUCCACUGAUAUCCACCCCCAGGAAUUUGCACUAGAGACUCAUCCAAGCGUAGUCUCUCCAUUCUCAGCGCGCUGAAUGUCAGCCACUGGACCAGCCCCAGCUCUCCAGGCCUGUCCCCUGCCCUGGUGUGUCGCCAGUCCCUACCCACCUGUCUGCGAGCUGCCUGCCUCUUGGGC